GGCCCAAACUUGAAGUAAAGUAGAUUAGUGAGGUCAGCUGAUCCUACUAUUCUACUGUUCUUCGAAAUUGGGCCC
rfam:Haemonchus contortus, ISE/inbred ISE, WGS project CAVP01000000 data, contig: Hcontortus_44740